rnacentral:rRNA from 1 species
UACAGAGGUCUCGAGCGUUAGGCGGAAUCACUGGGCUUAAAGCGUGUGUAGGCGGAUCGGUAAGUACCUUGUGAAAUCCCACAGCUUAACUGUGGAACUGCUUGGUAUACUGCCAGUCUUGAGCCAGCUAGGGGCUAACCGGAACAAAUGGUGGAGCGGUGAAAUGCGUAGAUAUCAUUUGGAACGCCAAUGGUGAAAACAGGUAGCUGGGGCUGUGCUGACGCUGGAGACACGAAAGCCAGGGGAGCGAACGGG